GACGAACGCUGGCGGCGUGCUUAACACAUGCAAGUCGAACGGAAAGGCCUGCUUUCCCUUGUGGAUUGCGGGUACUCGAGUGGCGAACGGGUGAGUAACACGUGAGUGAUCUGCCCCCAACUUGGGUAUAAGCCUGGGAAACUGGGUCUAAUUCCCGAUAGGACUGCAGGGUGGUGCCCGUGGUGGAAAACGAUUUUCUAGUGGUUGGGGAUGAGCUCGCGGCCUAUCAGCUUGUUGGUGGGGUAAUGGCCGACCAAGGCGGCGACGGGUAGCCGGCCUGGGAGCGUGGACGGCCACAUUGGGACUGGGAUACGGCCCAGACGCCUACGGGAGGCAGCAGUGGGGAAUAUUGCACAAUGGGCGGAAGCCUGAUGCAGCGACGCCGCGUGGGGGAUGACGGCCUUCGGGUUGUAAACUCCUUUCGACCGCGAGGAAGCCACCUGGUUGGAAGGGUGGUGACGGUAGUGGUAGAAGAAGCACCGGCUAACUACGUG
rnacentral:rRNA from 1 species